rnacentral:rRNA from 1 species
AGAGUUUGAUCCUGGCUCAGGACGAACGCUGGCGGUGCGCCUUAUGCAUGCAAGUCGAGCGAAGCUUUUCAGUAGUUUACUACAGAAAAUGACUGAGCGGCGAACGGGUGAGUAACGCGUGAGUAAUCUACCUUAGUUACAGGGAUAGCCCGAGGAAACUCGGAUUAAUACCUGAUAUUCUUUAUUUCUCGCAUGAGAAUAAAAGGAAAGGUCAGCCGAACUAAGAUGAGCUUGCGUUCUAUCAGCUAGUUGGUGAGGUAAAAGCUCACCAAGGCUACGACGGAUAGCUGGUCUGAGAGGACGAUCAGCCACACUGGGACUGAGACACGGCCCAGACUCCUACGGGAGGCUGCAGCAGGGAAUAUUGUGCAAUGAACGAAAGUUUGACACAGCGACACCGCGUGUGGGAUGACGGAUCUAGGUUUGUAAACCACUUUCAGGAGGGAAGAAAAUGACGGUACCUCCAUAAGAAGCCCCGGCCAACUACGUGCCAGCAGCCGCGGUAAUACGUAGGGGGCGAGCGUUGUCCGGAUUUAUUGGGCGUAAAGAGCUCGUAGGCGGUUCAACAAGUCGGUCGUGAAAGUUCAGGGCUCAACCCUGAAAUGUCGAUCGAUACUGUUGUGACUAGGAUACGGUAGAGGUGAGUGGAAUUCCGAGUGUAGCGGUGAAAUGCGUAGAUAUUCGGAGGAACACCAAUUGCGAAGGCAGCUCACUGGGCCGCUAUCGACGCUGAGGAGCGAAAGCUAGGGGAGCAAACAGGAUUAGAUACCCUGGUAGUCCUAGCUGUAAACGAUGGAUACUAGACGUAGAACUGGAUUGACGGUUUCUGUGUCGCAGCUAACGCGUUAAGUAUCCCGCCUGGGGAGUACGGUCGCAAGACUAAAACUCAAAGGAAUUGACGG